CUCGGAUGCUGCCUGGCCGGCUGUGCUUUUCCAGCACCGCACUCUUCGACUCUGAUCUCCAGCCCUCACUUUCUCCGGGCACAUGUUAGAGCCGAGAAAGCAAAACAUCUGGUUUAAAACGCUGCCUCUUAAGAAAUCGCGGGAUACCCGUCCACUGCAGGGAGCUGACUUCCGACUGCACCAAACAGCAAUUACCUCAACGCAGCCCUGCAACGGCCCACCACCGGAGCCUGGCUUCGCAAACGGUUCUGGAAGUUAAGUUGCCGUCGCUUCGCGGUUGGCAGCCCGUGUGGAGAAUUAACAACACCGCGGAGCCCUGACCCUCCCACGCACCUCCACCUCACAGUCCAGCAGAAUGUCCCGUCCGAUUGAUCGCCAGAUUUCCACCGUCAGGAAAUCAAAGGAAAAUUUUUAAAAAUCCCACCAGCAAAACGCGAGAGAGGGGAAAGAAACACUCACCUCAAGGAUCAAGAAGAACGCGGGAGCGGGAAGGGGAGGAGGGGAGGUGUUUGAAGCCUCCUCAGCGCGGCUGGGGGAUGACCACCGCCAUUUUAAACGCCGCGACAGCACGGGCCGCGCCUUCCUGCCCUCCGUCCGUCCGUCCGUCUCUCCGCCUCUCACGGGCUGAAGUUCAUCGCAAGACCGUGCGAAACCAUGCUCAAAAGCCCCGCUCCGGGAACGCACAGAAAAGAAAGAACAAUGUCACAUGAACAACUAAAGUAUACCACCUCACUUUUACAUCUAUACUUCUACAUCUUGUGAAAAAACCUAUAUGAAUGUAACACAAUGACAAGUGAACAGUAUCCAAACCAAAAUGGCAAUAACUGCCAUGUGCCAAUUCUGAUGACAAAAUCAUUCUACUCAGCUCUGGCAUGAUCAUCAUUAAAUGGGAACAAAAGUGGUCAACAGCAUAAAUACAAAGAACUGACAAGAUUUAACAUUUAAAUACAUAGAUGUUCUCUAAAUUAAACAAAUAAACAUACAUGUAAA